AGCGAACGCUGGCGGUAGGCCUAACACAUGCAAGUCGAACGGCAGCACAGUAAGAGCUUGCUCUUACGGGUGGCGAGUGGCGGACGUGUGAGGAAUACAUCGGAAUCUACUUUUUCGUGGGGGAUAACGUAGGGAAACUUACGCUAAUACCGCAUACGACCUACGGGUGAAAGCAGGGGAUCUUCGGACCUUGCGCGAUUGAAUGAGCCGAUGUCGGAUUAGCUAGUUGGCGGGGUAAAGGCCCACCAAGGCGACGAUCCGUAGCUGGUCUGAGAGGAUGAUCGGCCACCCUGGAACUUAGGCACGGUCCAGACUCCUACGAGAGGCAGCAGUGGCGAAUGUUAGGCAAUGGGCGCAAGCCUAAUCCAGCCAUACCGCGUGGGUGACGAAGACCUUCGGGUUGUGAAGCCCUUUUGUUGGGAAAGAAAAGCAGCAGGUUAAUACCCCGCUGUUCUGACGGUACCGAAAAAAUAAGCACCGGCUAACUUCGUG
rnacentral:rRNA from 1 species